ensembl:snRNA U6 U6 spliceosomal RNA
GUGCUCCCUUCGGCAGCACAUAUAUUAAAAUUGCAACAAUACAGAGAAGAUUAGCAUGGCCCCUGCACAAGGGUGAGACAGAAAUUCAUGAAGUGUUCCAUAUUUUU